rnacentral:rRNA from 1 species
GACGAACGCUGGCGGCGUGCUUAACACAUGCAAGUCGAACGGAAAGGCCCCUUUGGGGGUACUCGAGUGGCGAACGGGUGAGUAACACGUGAGUAACCUGCCCUUGACUUCGGGAUAACUUCAGGAAACUGGGGCUAAUACCGGAUAGGAAUCCUUGCUGCAUGGUGGGGGUUGGAAAGCUUCGGCGGUUUUGGAUGGACUCGCGGCUUAUCAGCUUGUUGGUGGGGUAGUGGCUUACUAAGGCUUUGACGGGUAGCCGGCCUGAGAGGGCGACCGGCCACAGUGGGACUGAGAUACGGCCCAGACUCCUACGGGAGGCAGCAGUGGGGAAUAUUGCACAAUGGGCGGAAGCCUGAUGCAGCAACGCCGCGUGCGGGAUGACGGCCUUCGGGUUGUAAACCGCUUUCAGCAGGGGCGAAGCUUGUGGUGACGGUACCUGCAGAAGAAGCACCGGCUAACUACGUG